AUGAGCAUGUUAGAUCAAAAAGUAAAUUGAUCCUUUUGUUCAAAAUUUUAUCAAUUCCUAUUUGUUAAAAACUGAUCCAUGCAUGUAAGCAUAAGGUACACGUGGCUUGAUUAUUAUGUCAACCAUACCCAUUUUUAACCGUGAAAAUGAAUUAAUUUUUAAUAGAAAUGACCGAUUUGCUCUUUGAUCUAAUGUAUAUAA
rnacentral:pre_miRNA from 1 species